rfam:Shewanella benthica KT99 1099576005631, whole genome shotgun sequence.
GGACGAGCCUCUGGAGAGAUCGCAAAUGGCUUUUAUUUUAUUGAGCUAUUAUGCGGCGCCGAAGGCGAAAGUGCCUAAGUUAUCUACCCAUUUAGACGCGAAACGCUCAGGCAAAAGGACAGGGGAGAGGAU